AGAACAUUUUGGAACUCCCAAAUAUGGCUGAAUUUACCGAGUAGCUCUGAGUCAGAGAAUGAGUUUAUUACAGAGAAUGAAAUAAUGUUAGUUAGGGAGCCAAUAAACCUACUGAAGCCGUUCACGUCUGAGCCGAUCGUUGACCCAGAUCAGAGUUCGUUCUCGUAUUACAUCCAGUCAGAGGUUCCUGUCAGUCUGUCUGGAUGGUGACUGUAUUACAUCCAGGUCAGAGGUUCCUGUCAGUCUGUCUGGAUGGUGAUGUAUUACAUCCAGUCAGAGGUUCCUGUCAGUCUGUCUGGAUGGUGACUGUAUUACAUCCAGUCAGAGGAUCCUGUCAGUCUGUCUGGAUGGUGACUGUAUUACAUCCAGAGGUUCCUGUCAGUCUGUCUGGAUGGUGACUGUAUUACAUCCAGUCAGAGGUUCCUGUCUGGAUGGUGAUGUAUUACAUCCAAUCAGAGGUUUCUGUCUGGAUGGUGAUGUAUUACAUCCAGGUCAGAGGUUCCUGUCUGUCUGUCUGGAUGGUGACUGUAUUACAUCCAGUCAGAGGUUCCUGUCAGUCUGUCUGGAUGGUGACUGUAUUACAUCCAGAGGUUCCUGUCAGUCUGUCUGGAUGGUGAUGUAUUACAUCCAGUCAGAGGCACCUGUCAGUCUGUCUGGAUGGUGAUGUAUUACAUCCAGUCAGGUUCUUGUCAGUCUGUCUGGAGGGCGAUGUAUUGGACGUGUCACUAGUCCUUUUGAAGGACUUCCUGGCAGAAGAGGUUACUCGACCAGUCAGCAGCCGAUAUGCCAGUUAAUUAAUUGGUGAAAUUUUGCUAUAGGGGCAGGACUCCGUUGUAUACUGAUGGUCGUGAGCGCAGUCUAGCUG
rnacentral:lncRNA from 1 species